rnacentral:rRNA from 1 species
CAGUCGCCGCGGUAAUACGAGGGGGGCAAGCGUUGUUCGGAAUUAUUGGGCGUAAAGGGCGCGUAGGCGGUUUGGCAAGUUUGGUGUGAAAUCUUCGGGCUCAACUCGAAGUCUGCAUCGAAAACUGCCGGGCUUGAGUAUGGGAGAGGUGAGUGGAAUUUCCGGUGUAGCGGUGAAAUGCGUAGAUAUCGGAAGGAACACCAGUGGCGAAGGCGGCUACCUGGACUGACACUGACACUGAGGCGCGAAAGCGUGGGGAGCAAACAGGAUUAGAUACCCCUGUAGUCCCUGUCUCUUAUAC